rnacentral:rRNA from 1 species
CAUCUGGUGCCAGCAGCCGCGGUAAUUCCAGCUCCAAGAGCGUAUAUUAAAGUUGUUGCAGUUAAAAAGCUCGUAGUUGAACCUUGGAGGCGCCGUGCCGGUCCGCUUAGGCGAGCACUGGAGGCGGCGCCUCUUUCCUCCUCCUCUUAGCAAUAAGAGGAGGACUGUUACUUUGAGUAAAUGAGAGUGUUCAAAGCAGGCGCACGCUUGAAUCUGUUAGCAUGGAAUAAUAGAAUAGGACGCAUGGUUCUAUUUUGUUGGUUUCUAGGACCAUCGUAAUGAUUAAUAGGGACGGUCGGGGGCAUCAGUAUUCAGUUGUCAGAGGUGAAAUUCUUGGAUUUACUGAAGACUAACUACUGCGAAAGCAUUUGCCAAGGACGUUUUCAUUAAUCAAGAACGAAAGUUAGGGGAUCGAAG